AAUGUGUCCACCCUUAUGGUCAGGCAGAGGGUUGUUGCGGACAUUGGGAGUGAGCUCUUAUGCUAUGAUGACCUUAUUAUCAAUCAAGGUCUGAAUCUUAUCUUUCAAUGAGCGACACUUAUCGAUAGUAUAGCCUUUAGUUCCAAAAUGGUAUGCGCAGGUUUUGUUGGGAUUGAUCCAUUUGGAGUCAUUUUUUGGGGUUAUGGCCGGGAUAAGUGUAAUUUAACCAGCUACUUUGAGUCUUUCAUAUAGUUGGUCGAUUGGUUCGACGAUGGCAGUAUAUUAUCUGGGAGGCCUUCGGUCGAAGUUUGGUCUGGGUCGAGGAAAAUUUUGGCAAGUAGGUGUUGAUGGC
rnacentral:lncRNA from 1 species